rnacentral:rRNA from 1 species
UUAUCUGAACCUUCGGGGAACGAUAACGGCGUCGAGCGGCGGACGGGUGAGUAAUGCCUAGGAAAUUGCCCUGAUGUGGGGGAUAACCAUUGGAAACGAUGGCUAAUACCGCAUGAUGCCUACGGGCCAAAGAGGGGGACCUUCGGGCCUCUCGCGUCAGGAUAUGCCUAGGUGGGAUUAGCUAGUUGGUGAGGUAAGGGCUCACCAAGGCGACGAUCCCUAGCUGGUCUGAGAGGAUGAUCAGCCACACUGGAACUGAGACACGGUCCAGACUCCUACGGGAGGCAGCAGUGGGGAAUAUUGCACAAUGGGCGCAAGCCUGAUGCAGCCAUGCCGCGUGUGUGAAGAAGGCCUUCGGGUUGUAAAGCACUUUCAGUCGUGAGGAAGGUAGUGUAGUUAAUAGCUGCAUUAUUUGACGUUAGCGACAGAAGAAGCACCGGCUAACUCCGUGCCAGCAGCCGCGGUAAUACGGAGGGUGCGAGCGUUAAUCGGAAUUACUGGGCGUAAAGCGCAUGCAGGUGGUUUGUUAAGUCAGAUGUGAAAGCCCGGGGCUCAACCUCGGAAUAGCAUUUGAAACUGGCAAUACUAGAGUACUGUAGAGGGGGGUAGAAUUUCAGGUGUAGCGGUGAAAUGCGUANAGAUCUGAAGGAAUACCGGUGGCGAAGCGGCCCCCUGGACAGAUACUGACACUCAUAUGCGAAAGCGUUGGGGAGCAAACUGGAUUUACCAUUACCCUGGUAGUCCACGCCGUAAACGAUGU